AUCCCAGAUAAGCUUUCCUUGUGUUUAUCUGAUUCAUGGGAGGCAGAUAACAACAAUGGAAGUUUCGCUGAUAGCACCUUUUAUUUAUUUCCUGGGAGGUGUUCUAAUAGUAGGUUUCCGUACAUUA
rnacentral:snoRNA from 2 species